rnacentral:rRNA from 1 species
UAGGGAAUCUUCGGCAAUGGACGAAAGUCUGACCGAGCAACGCCGCGUGAGUGAAGAAGGCUUUCGGAUCGUAAAACUCUGUUGUUAGAGAAGAACAAGGACGUUAGUAACUGAACGUCCCCUGACGGUAUCUAACCAGAAAGCCACGGCUAACUACGUGCCAGCAGCCGCGGUAAAACGUAGGUGGCAAGCGUUGUCCGGAUUUAUUGGGCGUAAAGCGAGCGCAGGCGGUUUCUUAAGUCUGAUGUGAAAGCCCCCGGCUCAACCGGGGAGGGUCAUUGGAAACUGGGAGACUUGAGUGCAGAAGAGGAGAGUGGAAUUCCAUGUGUAGCGGUGAAAUGCGUAGAUAUAUGGAAGAACACCAGUGGCGAAGGCGGCUCUCUGGUCUGUAACUGACGCUGUGGCACGAAAGCGUGGGGAGCAAACAGG